rnacentral:rRNA from 1 species
UUGGCGGACGGGUGAGUAACGCGUGGGUAACCUGCCUUGCACUGUGGGAUAACACUUAGAAAUAGGUGCUAAUACCGCAUAAGCGCACGGUCCUGCAUGGGACAGUGUGAAAAACUCCGGUGGUGCAAGAUGGACCCGCGUCUGAUUAGCUGGUUGGCGGGGUAAAGGCCCACCAAGGCGACGAUCAGUAGCCGGCCUGAGAGGGUGGACGGCCACAUUGGGACUGAGACACGGCCCAAACUCCUACGGGAGGCAGCAG